UUGAGGAAUUAAGAAAUAAAGAAGAGGAAAAGAGUGGCCUUAGUGAUGGGAAGUGAAAAGUGGUCAAACGGGAGGCGAGGAAGCGACACGCAGCUAGCCAGAAAGAGAGAGAAAGCCCACUCUUUUUCUCUCUAAAAGCGAACUGGAAAGAAAACCCUCUCCAUCCUUUCUUUCUCUCUCUCUCUCUAGCUCCAGUUAUUGUGUGAGGCCUCUCUCUGCAUAUAUAGCAUGCCAGCCAAGACUCAGCUUACUACCACCAUUGAAACAGAUCCUAAUUCCUACAGGAUCUCCCUCUCUCUCUUUCUCUCUCUCUCUACGACACAGAAUCGAAAGCACCACCUCUCUCUCUCUCUGUCAAAAUCCAAAGCACACCAGAUGCCUACCAUGCCACCUGAAGAAACCACCUCCGCCAUAGCCAAAUGGCUCACAAACCCUCUUCUUCCUUUCUCUCUCUAAAAGGGAACUAGAAAGAAAACCCUCUUCUUCCUUUCUCUCUCUCUCUAGCUCCAUUUAUAGUGUAAGGCCUCUCUCUGCAUAUAUAGCAUACCAGCCAAGACUCAGCUUAAUACCACCAUUGAAAGAGAUCCUAAUUCCUACAGGAUAUCUCUCUCUCACUCUCUCUACAACACAGAAUCGAAAGCACCACCUCUCUCUCUCUCUGUCAAAAUCCAAAGCACACCAGAUACCCACCAUGCCACCUGAAGAAACCACCUCCACCAUAUCCAAAUGGCUCACAAACCAUCCCAAACCAUCUUCGAGCUCAUCACCAAGCACUUCCGACCUCUUCGUAUGCUUCCCUUCUCGAGGCCCCCUAACACUAAUGCCCAAGCCCAUAUGUAGCCCCGACUGGCGACCCGACCGAGCCAAGCAUCACCACCGCGCCGCACCGACCCGUGCCCACGGCAGCCCCAUGCUCCGACCCAAGGUUCGGGCCCACCCGAGCCCAGUCAUCUAGCUGCACGAGCCCACCUCACCCAAGGUCACAUGCGCAGGUCAGGUCCGGGUCAAGCCCAGGCGCGCGUGCAGGACUUGGCAAUCAGUGAUGGAAGAGGUAGAGAAGCUUCAUGCUAACAAGCACAGGCGCAAUUCUGGCCGCCCGAUCGGCAGCAAAUUUGAGGAGGCCGUACAUUUCUUGACUGCUCUGACAAAAUUCCGGUUCGAUUUUCGUUGCUUCGGCGGUUUUCCGUCCUCCUACUCUUCAUCAGAUGAAGAAGAGGAAGAGAAAGAAGCAGAGGGGAGAGGAGCUGGCACUGUGUUUGCUAAAUGGUUCAUGAUAUUGCAGGAGGACCCAGAUAAGAAAACCCACCUUAAUGGGAUGAGAGAGAAAGUGGGGUUAGAGAGAGGAAGAGGAUUUGUUGGGGGAGAGAGAGAGAAGGGGAAAUUUGGGGAGGAGAGAGAGGAGGAGGCUCCAACCGUGCCCCCUCCAAAUGCCCUGUUAUUGAUGAGGUGCAGGUCGGCUCCAUUAAAGGGGUGGGAAGAAGAGGAGAAGGUUGAAUUGAAGACAGGAAGAGGAGGAGAGAGAAAGCAUGGUUUUGAUGAGCUAUGCGCCUGAUUUUUUCAAAGUUUCGCCAGAAAUUUCAAGGGAGACGUGGGUGAAGAAGUCGGAUUACUUGUCGAGAAGCCGGAGUUGGAAGAGAUAGAAAACUUUUCAGGCGUGUUUUUCCGGUGAAGUGUUGGAGUUGUGUAUGGUUUUGGGGGCUGUGUACAGUUUAGAAGAGAAGCGCAAUUGGUCGAAAAGGCUGAAGCUUUUCCGAAAGUAAAGCUCUGGUUUUUCGUCUUCUUUUUCUGAAAUUUCUCAUUUUUUAUUCCCAAUUUUUUUUUUGGGUGCUGUCCUCUUCCUUUCUCUUACUUCUUUCUCACUCUUCUUUGUCAUUUCUUCUCACUCCGAAUCCAGAGAUCUGUUCCGGUUUGAAUAAAUAUUGGUUUGCUGCACGCACCAAUCGUAUCACAAUCUCAAAGUAAGCCAAAGAAGAUCGUUUGUAUUUAUGUGUAUCUUAUCUUUUUGUCAUUAGUUUGGUUUGAAUGUAUUCACUUCGGUCCAUAAAUUGUGCUUUAUGUGUUCAAUAAAAAUGUGAUUUAUUUAUGCAUUUAUGGAUAUGGA